rnacentral:lncRNA from 1 species
UUCUUGUUGAGGCAGAGAACUGACUUGAGCAUCGGAGGGUCUUGCCGGAGCAACCCCACCUCCAGUUUAGACUUCUUUUGCAGGUCCCGACGAUGACCGCGACUCCAGCUUCUCCGACGCAAGCGGAUUUUUGCACCAACAGGAUUGGUGCUAGAAGAAGGGCUGAACCUUCGCAGUACCUUUGUUCUUAAAGGAGCACUCAAUGGGAUUACCCCCGGGCAUCUUUUCCGACGCCCUCCCCUCCUUCCUCCACUUGGUCUUUGCCCGAUGCCUCCCUAUAAGGCAUCCACACGGCGAUCCACGACCUCCGCGGCC